UCAGGGUGCCGGGACCGCUCUGCAGGCCUGCCGUCGCCGGCUCUGCGACCUUGGGCGGGGCCUCGGUUCCCACGUCUGACGCUGAGUGCUUGAGCUUGCCGAGGAACUAGGAGGCCCGCUGGAGAUCUCUUCCAGGGCGCAGGGCUGAGAUGGACCCCCUCAGGGCCCAGCAGCUGGCUGCAGAGCUGGAGGUAGAGAUGACGGCCGACAUGUACAACAGAAUGACCAGCGCCCGCCACCGGAAGUGCGUGCCUCCCCACCACAAGGAAGCAGAGCUGUCCAAGGGCGAGUCCGUGUGCCUGCACCGCUGUGUCUCCAAGUACCUGGACAUCCACGAGCGGAUGGGCAAGAAGCUGACAGAGCUGUCUGUGCAGGUUGAGGAGCUGAUGAAGAGGGCGCAGCAGAGUUCUGGGCCUGUGUGAGGCGCGGCGGCACACCCUGAGGUGCACCCCACCCUCUACCCGUCUACUGAAAGUGCCCCACGUUGGGCAUCUGUGGAGACUGCCCGGCCUGGACUCCUUCUGGAGAGUCUCUAGGAGCUGGAGUAUGAUGGAGCCCUUUCCCAGGCGGGCCCUGUGACUGUGUGUGUAUAUAUAUAUUAUAUAUUAAAACAAAUUUGU